rnacentral:rRNA from 1 species
AAAUUGAAGAGUUUGAUCAUGGCUCAGAUUGAACGCUGGCGGCAGGCCUAACACAUGCAAGUCGAACGGUAACAGGAAGCAGCUUGCUGCUUCGCUGACGAGUGGCGGACGGGUGAGUAAUGUCUGGGAAACUGCCUGAUGGAGGGGGAUAACUACUGGAAACGGUGGCUAAUACCGCAUAACGUCGCAAGACCAAAGAGGGGGACCUUCGGGCCUCUUGCCAUCAGAUGUGCCCAGAUGGGAUUAGCUAGUUGGUGAGGUAACGGCUCACCAAGGCGACGAUCCCUAGCUGGUCUGAGAGGAUGACCAGCCACACUGGAACUGAGACACGGUCCAGACUCCUACGGGAGGCAGCAGUGGGGAAUAUUGCACAAUGGGCG